AUGAUUCCUUCAGCCAUAUUAACUGCUUCAACCCGUUCCUUCUUUGGCCGGUCUUCAUCAGCAUACUUUUCUGCAUUUUUAACCAUAUUUUCAAUGUCAUCUUUGCUUAAUCCACCUGAAGACUGGAUUACAAUCUGCUGCUCACGUCCUGUGCCCUUAUCUUUAACAGAAACAUGUACAACCCCAUUGGCAUCUAUCAAAUGUAACUUCAAUCUGAGGGACUCCUCGAGGUGCUGGAGGAAUUCCAAUCAAAGUGAACUGUCCAAGAAGUUUGUUGUCUCCAGCCAUCUCUCUCUCCCCCUGACAUACUUUAAUCUUGACUUGAGUCUGCCCAUCAGCAGCAGUAGAAAACACCUGGCUCUUUUUGGUUGGAAUAGUGUGUUCCUGUUAAUAAGCUUGGUGAAGACACCUCCUAGAGUCUCAAUACCCAGAAACAGGGGAGUGACAUCCAGGAGCAGCACAUCUGUGACAUCACCAGCCAAUACGCCUCCUUGAAUAGCAACUCCAAUAGCCACAGCUUCAUCAGGAUUGACAGCUUUACCUGGGGCUCGGCCAAAAAGAUCCUGCACAGUCUGCUGGACCUUGGGCAUCCUAGUCAUGCCACCAACAAGAAUCACUUCUCCUAUGUCACUCUUGCUAACUUCUGCAUCUUGCAUAGAUUUCUGGCAUGGAGCCAUAGUCCUCUUGAUCAGAUCUGCAACAAUUCCCUCAAAUUGAGCUUGGGUCAACUUAAUGUUCAAAUGCUUGGGUCCAGAAGCAUCCAUUGUAAGAUAUGGCAAGUUGAUGUCGGUCUGCACAGAUGAGGAGAGCUCACAUUUGGCUUUCUCAGCAGCUUCUCUCACUCUCUGCAGUGCCAUGUUGUCUUUGGUCAAAUCAACCCCUGUCUCCCUCUUGAACUCCUUCACAAUGUGUCAUAACAGGGCCUGGUCAAAGUCUUCACCACCUAUCGUAGUGAGUUAUUAAUUUCUUUUUGUGCAUAGAGCAUUGUGAGUGUAUGAAACCAUUACUGAUUUAAUUUUGAUUUGGUAAUCUGCAAUUUUACUAAAUUUAUUAGUAAUAAUAGAUUUUUGGUGGAUGAUUCACGGUUUCUAUAUAAAAAACUGUGUCAUUUGUUUACAAGAACAAUUUAACUUCUUCCUUUCUUAUUGAUAUGCUUUUUAUUUGUUUCCAUUUUGUAUUUGCUCUGGUUAGAACUUCCAGUGGAU
rnacentral:lncRNA from 1 species